rnacentral:rRNA from 1 species
AGCAGUGGGGAAUAUUGGACAAUGGGCGAAAGCCUGAUCCAGCCAUGCCGCGUGUGUGAAGAAGGUCUUCGGAUUGUAAAGCACUUUAAGUUGGGAGGAAGGGCAUUAACCUAAUACGUUAGUGUUUUGACGUUACCGACAGAAUAAGCACCGGCUAACUCUGUGCCAGCAGCCGCGGUAAUACAGAGGGUGCAAGCGUUAAUCGGAAUUACUGGGCGUAAAGCGCGCGUAGGUGGUUCGUUAAGUUGAAUGUGAAAUCCCCGGGCUCAACCUGGGAACUGCAUCCAAAACUGGCGAGCUAGAGUAUGGUAGAGGGUGGUGGAAUUUCCUGUGUAGCGGUGAAAUGCGUAGAUAUAGGAAGGAACACCAGUGGCGAAGGCGACCACCUGGACUGAUACUGACACUGAGG